UAGGGCUACCUUGAGGGAACCAGAAAAACGAGUUGCAGGUGUGUGAGGGCUUUCUGGGCGGACCCAGGGAAAACUUAUGACCACAAGGGGGCAGUAGGACGCACAAGCUUUCUUUGAGCCAGGACUUGAGAGUUUUGGGUGUGGGGAAGUCCUUCGCAGCAGGAGAACUGUCCAGAGACAGGCAAGGGUUCACGGGUGCCACCAUUUGGAAGGGGAGGAAGAUGAGUGCCAGCUGGAGAGAACUAGUGAUACCUGGGCAGCUCCUUUACCAGAGUUAACUGGAGAUGCAAAUCCUCCCACGACCUCAGUGAUUGCAUCACAUGGUGAGAGUGAGGAAGUACCACCCGAACCUAAGGAAGGAGCAGCAGCACCAGCGGCACCAGUAAAAGGCCAUGUUGGUAGGGGAGCUCCUGGCCCCAUGGACAGACAAAGAGAACCUCGGGGUGGCAGGCGGGAGCCCAGGCAUCCUGAGGACAGGCAGCGGCCAUUCUACUGCACCGCUUUCACCCUGUUGCAGGUCCAGGAGCAGGAGAGCAUCUUACAACAAAUUCCCUACUCAGGCAUGUUAGCAUGAGCCUCUUCCCUCCCUUCCUGAGCCAAAGGACAACUAGGGAUCCCAAGGCCGUGGGGCCCACCUGUCCUCAGGCCCCAGGGUAGAGGCAAUGCCUCCUGGGCACCAAGAAAGGAGCUUGCAAGAUUCAUGCACGUGACUGAGGCCAGCAUGCAGAUUAGCCCUGAACUAACUACUGCCAAUCCUACUCUUUUUGCUGAGGAAGACUGGUCCUGAGCUAACAUCCAUGCCCAUCUUCCUCUACUUUAUAUGUGGGACGCCCACCACAGCAUGGCUUUUGCCAAGCGGUGCCAUGUCUGCACCCAGGAUCCAAGCCGGCGAACCACGGGCCGCUGAGAAGCGGAACGUGCGCACUUAACUGCUGCGCCACCAGGCUGGCCCCUAGAAAUAUAUUCGAUAUGAUAUAAAUAAAUAUGUGCACAUUUGCAUGUGUAUACAUACACAUGCAUAUAUAUAUAUGUAUUAGGGAGGACUUCUGUGUGGAGACUAUACGAUGGAAAUAAUAACACUAUCUAUGUCAUAGAACUGAUGAGGGGAACAAAUGACAUAAUGCACAUAAGUACCCAGCACAACGCCCAGCGACAGAGGAAGCCCUGAGAAAUGUUCAGUACUAUUACUCCAUGAUAUAGCCUAUCACCGCGGUACAACCUGUGGCAUAUGUGACAUAGUGGGAAGAGGCCUGGUUAGGAGUCACACAUUCUGGUUCCUUUAGAGAUACACGCUGAGAUAUUUACAGAUGAAACGAUGCGAGGCCUAGAUUUGCAUCGAAAUAAUCCAGGGGCAGAUGCAGGGGUGUUGGAGCAUUGGUUAGGGCAUUGAUGAAAUGCGACGGCUGUUAAUAACUGUUGAAACUGAGUAAUGAGGACGCGGGACUCAUGCUACGAUUCUCUCUGUAUAUGUUUGACAUUUCUCAUAAUAAAAAAAUCAUGUUUUUAAAUGAUUGGCGUUACAAACUCAAAUGUUGAGAAGGCCAGGCGUGAGAACAGCAAGGAGGGUGGGGACUGGCACGUGUCUUUCCCAAAGGGGACGGCUGGUAUUCAGCUCAGCUCAGCGUUGCUGGGCAAGAAUGUUGGGUCAGGAUGGCCAGAUUUUCCAGCUUUUCAAGACUGGCCCCAAAUCAAAAUGCUGGUAUGAAACCUUCCAUUCUUUAAAUGUUGGCAACUAACUGAGAUGUUUUACCACAAAGCAUGCUGGCCACCUAAAACAGGUCCGCAGAAUACACUCAGCUUGCAGCUGCCCAUUUGUGGCCCUUGCCUGAGAGCUAACUUUCAACAAGUUUCAUUCGCAGAAGCAGAAGAAUGUAAUUAAAAGCACUCUUAAGGCCAAGAAUCCUAGGUUGCCAUUGUUCCACUCUGUCGUUUCUCAUUAUAAGACCUGCUCCCAUACAUGUUUUGGUCUCUCCCCUCCAUCCCUGCCUGUGAGUUUCUCUACCUGGAUGCUUCGCUCGGCUUACCUAGUUCUGAUCUCAAAUUUUUUCCCACUGAUGCCCAAGACAUUAGGAGCGUCUGAGAGAGGAGGCCCCAAGCUAACGAACCAGGACGUGCUUGACCUGCUCCUACUUGCUGGCACAUUUUCUAACGGUUCUUCACGAUAAGCGGGCAUACUGAGUGAAUCUUAAGAAACAUUAUGCCUCAGGGACAAGGUGAUAGGCUGGGAAGGUCAGAGCACCCAGCAGAAGAAAAAAAGGAUUUUAUGAAACAUUCACAUCCAAAAAUAUAUAUGUUGUUUACCAGUAAUUCAAACGUAACUCAGCCUCCUGUAUUUUUAAUGCUAAAUAUCGCAACUGUAAUGUAAACCUAUUGUCGUUUGCAUAGGAAAUAUUUUCAAUACUUUGUACUCUUUUUCCCAUUCCAUGUAUAUUUUUCUUUUCAUUCAGGAGAAAUUAAAAAACAUGUACUUUGAUUUGAGCCAUUCCUAUAUGAUACACACAUGUGUGCAUCCAUGGAAAUGAGCCACUGGGGCAACCGGUUCCCUGCAGCCUUCCGGCUCCUCAGGAGGCUCUUGGAGUCUAAGCUGAUGAACAGGAGACUGUGUCCUUUCUCAGCCCCAUGUUUGCAAUGACGCAAGGGAAGGGCAUGGGCCACAGGACAUAUUUCACCAGGGAGUGACCCAACUGGCAUUUGAAAUACUGGUGGCACAAGCUUUCAGCAUCACAGCAACAUGCCUCCACCACAGUAUGAAAACCGACAGACGGAUGGUGUGGUUCCCUGACCAGGAAACAAACCCUGUCAG
ensembl:lncRNA